UCAUCGAUAAAAGUUGUUAGUCUCUCUAAUCGUACCCGUCACCUUUUAGAAAACAGUGAUGAAAACAAAAACAGAAUCCGGACUUUAAAAAAAACAUUCAAAACUCAACGGAAUUCCGACUCAUCUCUUUCUCCAUCGUCUCAAGCCUAGAGCGAAAGUGCUUUCUGCUCUCAAAUCGGAAGUGCAGCUCGUUUAGCAGAGCUUACAGUUGUUUCUAGAUUGUUGACUCAAUCAUUGCUUUAUUCAGAAUGGAUUUCACUGGAAGACGGGAACUCGUGGACCCCCAGCAAAAAACUAGCUCAUAUGCUAUCAAAGAUAAUAAAAAAAUCGCAGAGGAAUUCAAUGUUGCUGUCUAAAGAAUCACAUUUUCCAGGGGUGGAAUGUUCAUAUCAGAUCCAUAGAAGCUAACAGGUGGGCAUGUUCUAGGUCACGCGGUGACCAUCAGGCUCAGUUUCAGGAAGGAGAGCAACGUGUCUGUUUGACGCGCCAAUGCAUGACUCCUUUUCUCCUUAACAAAAGAAUCACAUUUUCCAGAUUACACCAGGAGGCGUUGCAGAUGCCAAGGACUAGAGCCAGCCUAGAGGAGAGCUCUUUAUGUCUUAUUACACGUAUUAUGACUGUUUUUACCGUUUAUUUCUUUUACGCUUUUACCAGCAUAGCAUGACUUUUCCUGGGAAGUUCUUAUACUAUUAAUCUUGACCGUCA